rnacentral:rRNA from 1 species
AUUGAACGCUGGCGGCAUGCCUUACACAUGCAAGUCGAACGGUAACAGGUCUUCGGAUGCUGACGAGUGGCGAACGGGUGAGUAAUACAUCGGAACGUGCCUAGUAGUGGGGGAUAACUACUCGAAAGAGUGGCUAAUACCGCAUGAGAUCUACGGAUGAAAGCAGGGGAUCGCAAGACCUUGUGCUACUAGAGCGGCCGAUGGCAGAUUAGGUAGUUGGUGGGAUAAAAGCUUACCAAGCCGACGAUCUGUAGCUGGUCUGAGAGGACGAUCAGCCACACGGGGACUGAGACACGGCCCAGACUCCUACGGGAGGCAGCAGUGGGGAAUUUUGGACAAUGGGCGCAAGCCUGAUCCAGCAAUGCCGCGUGCAGGAUGAAGGCCUUCGGGUUGUAAACUGCUUUUGUACGGAACGAAAAGCCCUGGGUUAAUACCCUGGGGUCGUGACGGUACCGUAAGAAUAAGCACCGGCUAACUACGUGCCAGCCGCCGCCGUAAAAC